rnacentral:rRNA from 1 species
GACGAACGCUGGCGGCGUGCUUAACACAUGCAAGUCGAACGGAAAGGCCCUGCUUUUGUGGGGUGCUCGAGUGGCGAACGGGUGAGUAACACGUGAGUAACCUGCCCUUGACUUUGGGAUAACUUCAGGAAACUGGGGCUACUACCGGAUAGGAGCUCCUGCUGCAUGGUGGGGGUCGGAAAGUUUCGGCGGAUGGGGAUGGACUCGCGGCUUAUCAGCUUGUUGGUGGGGUACUGGCUUACCAAGGCUUUGACGGGUAGCCGGCAUGAGAGGGUGACCGGCCACAUUGGGACUGAGAUACGGCCCAGACUCCUACGGGAGGCAGCAGGGGGGAAUAUUGCACAAUGGGCGGAAGCCUGAUGAAGCAACGCCGCGUGCGGGAUGACGGCCUUCGGGUUGUAAACCGCUUUCGCCUGUGACGAAGCGUGAGUGACGGUAAUGGGUAAAGAAGCACCGGCUAACUACGUG